GAUGAACGCUAGCGAUAGGCCUAACACAUGCAAGUCGAGGGGCAUCACAUGAAGUAGCAAUACGGAUGGUGGCGACCGGCGCACGGGUGAGUAACACGUAUGCAACCUGCCUUCGACAAGGGGAUAACCCGUUGAAAGACGGACUAAUACCCUAUAACACAGGGGUCCCGCAUGGGAAUAUUUGUUAAAGGACAACCGGUUGAAGAUGGGCAUGCGUUCCAUUAGCUAGUUGGCGGGGUAACGGCCCACCAAGGCAACGAUGGAUAGGGGAACUGAGAGGUUUAUCCCCCACACUGGUACUGAGACACGGACCAGACUCCUACGGGAGGCAGCAGUGAGGAAUAUUGGUCAAUGGACGCAAGUCUGAACCAGCCACGUCGCGUGAAGGAA
rnacentral:rRNA from 1 species